rnacentral:rRNA from 1 species
UACAGAGGCCACAAGCGUUAGGCGGAAUCACUGGGCUUAAAGCGUGUGUAGGCGGAUGUCUAAGUACCUUGUGAAAUCCCACAGCUCAACUGUGGGCGUGCGAGCGAUACGGGCAGACUAGAGUACUGCAGGGGAGACUGGAAUUCCUGGUGUAGCGGUGAAAUGCGCAGAUAUCCGGAGGAACACCAGUGGCGAAGGCGCCACUCUGGGCCGUAACUGACGCUGAGGAGCGAAAGCGUGGGUAGCAAACAGG